AUACGUAGGGUGCAAGCGUUAAUCGGAAUUACUGGGCGUAAAGCGUGCGCAGGCGGUUUUGUAAGACAGUGGUGAAAUCCCCGGGCUCAACCUGGGAACUGCCAUUGUGACUGCAAGGCUGGAGUGCGGCAGCGGGGGAUGGAAUUUCGCGUGUAGCAGUGAAAUGCGUAGAUAUGCGGAGGAACACCGAUGGCGAAGGCAAUCCCCUGGGCCUGCACUGACGCUCAUGCACGAAAGCGUGGGGAGCAAACAGGAUUAGAUACCCUGGUAGUCCACGCCCUAAACGAUGUCAACUGGUUGUUGGGGAUUUAUUUUCUCAGUAACGAAGCUAACGCGUGAAGUUGACCGCCUGGGGAGUACGGCCGCAAGGUUAAAACUUAAAGGAAUUGACGGGG
rnacentral:rRNA from 1 species